ACCAGACUCCUACGGGAGGCAGCAGUGAGGAAUAUUGGUCAAUGGGCGAGAGCCUGAACCAGCCAAGUCGCGUGAAGGAUGACGGCCCUACGGGUUGUAAACUUCUUUUGUCAGGGAGCAAUUGAGUCCACGUGUGGGCUUAGCGAGAGUACCUGAAGAAAAAGCAUCGGCUAACUCCGUGCCAGCAGCCGCGGUAAUACGGAGGAUGCGAGCGUUAUCCGGAUUUAUUGGGUUUAAAGGGUGCGUAGGCGGGCUUUUAAGUCGGCGGUAAAAAUUCGGGGCUCAACCCCGUCCGGCCGUUGAAACUGGGGGCCUUGAGUGGGCGAGAAGAAGGCGGAAUGCGUGGUGUAGCGGUGAAAUGCAUAGAUAUCACGCAGAACUCCGAUUGCGAAGGCAGCGCACCGGCGCCCUACUGACGCUCAGGCACGAAAGCGUGGGUAUCGAACAGGAUUAGAUACCCCUGUACC
rnacentral:rRNA from 1 species